rnacentral:lncRNA from 1 species
CACAAGGCUGUCUGGGGAGACGUUCUCCUGGCCACCCCAAUGAUCUUGGGGCACAGAGCAGUGGGGAUCCUGCACGGGAGGCGUCCCCGCCCUCUCCUGGGCCCCUAAAAGCCCAGCCUCCAACGGAGCUGCAGAGACUUUGGGGAGCCUCUCUGUACCCCUGCUCUCUGAAUCUCCUGCCCAAAAGGACCUGGCCUGGAGCUGAAGGUCGGCACCAGAGCCCCGCUUUUCAGAAAGCCAGGCUCUCAGGAAGAGAAACGGGCUUUUCCUCCUGUUUCUGCAUCUCUUCCUCACGCCCGGGAUUGAAGUUUCUCACACCGCCACGGCCUGGACGCUGCUCCUAUGUUGGGAGGAG